rnacentral:rRNA from 1 species
AAUUGCAGAAUUCAGUGAAUCAUCGAAUCUUUGAACGCAACUUGCGCUCUCUGGUAUUCCGGANAGCAUGCCUGUUUGAGUGUCAU